ensembl:lncRNA
ACUCUCUCUCCCUCUUCAUCUCUCUCUCUCUCCUUCAUCUCUUUCUUUUUCUCCACCUCUUUCUCAAUUACCCCCCUCUCUCUCUCUUUUAGGCAACCAUGUUUUUAUGGCAGGAGUCAACCAAAUAAAAGCAGCCCCACCAAUCUGUGGGGGAGAAAAGCCGCUGGUUCAAUGAAGUGAUCUAUUCAACUCAGUGUUUCUCUCUCUUGCUCUCUUCAUUAAUUCCAUACUGUCCUGCCUUUUCAUCCUUUCUGUCUUUUGUUUUCUGUCUCUCUUACUUUUUAUUCCCCUCCUUCUUUCUCUGGCUGGCUGAGCUCUGACAAGGGGAUAGAAUCAAGAGUUUGGGAGAGGAGAGGGACAUUUGGGAGCGAGAUGGCGAGUGGGACGGUGGCGUUGUUCCUGUAUGGAUUCCUGCUCCUGUCUCUGUGGAAACCUUCACUGCAAGGAGGUGUAUACAUACCUGCUGGUGUAGGUGAAGCUGGGGCUGGAUUAGGAGCUGGAGCAGGAGUCAGAGCUGGAUUUGGUCCAGGUGGAGCUGGCACCAGUUUUGGGCCUGGUGGUGUAGGCACUGGAUAUGGGCCAGGUGGCGGAGCCGGAGUUGGACCAGGAGGUGUAGGUGGAGCUGGGGCUGGUCCAGGAGGUGCAGGCUUUGGCCCUGGAGCCGGUGGAGGUUACACCAAGCCAGGGAAGACGGGAGCUGGCUAUGGUGGUCAGGUUGUAGGCCAAGGCCAAGGCCAAGGAGGACUGGGGACUGGAGGUCUGGGGGAAGGAAGAGUUAGACCAGAAGGAGCUGGGGCCGGACCAGGAGGUUAUGGACAUGGCGGUGGUUUAGGAGCUGGAGGCCUUGGAGCAGGAGCUGGCAAUGGAGGUUGGGGUCCUGGAGGACAGGGGGCUGGACUAGGAGCUGGAGGUCUGGGAGGAGGAGGUCUUAGACCAGGAGCCAGACCAGGAGGUUAUGGACCAGGUGGUUAUGGGCCUGGUGCUGAUCUUAGUCUGGGCGGAGCUGUAGCUGGAGGUCUUGGUGGUGGUUACGGACUUGGCGGGGGUCUAGGUGCCGGAGGCCUUGGAGCAGGAGCUGGAGGAAAGCCAGAGAAGGCAGGAGCUGGCUACGGUGGUAGAGAUCCAGGAGGACAGGGGGCUGGACUGGGUGUUGGAGGUUUUGGACCAGGUGGCUAUGGACCAGGUGGAGCUGGUGCUGGACCAGGUGGCUAUGGGCUUGGUGUUGGUCUUGGUCCUGGGGGAGCUGGUCCUGGAGUUUUUGGUGGUGGUUAUGGACCCGAUGGAACAGGAGCUGGCUAUGUAGGUCGCAGUCCUGGGGGACAGGGGGCUGGAUUAGGAGCUGGAGGCUAUGGACCAGGUGGAGCUGGACCAGGAGGAUAUGGGCCUGGUUCUGGUGUUGGCCAGGGUGGAGCUGGUCCAGGUGGUUUUGGUGGUGGUCUUGGAGCUGGCGGACAAGGAGAUGCCCUUGGAGCUGGGUAUGGAGGUCUCGGAGCUGGGGGACUGGGAUCCAGAGGUACAGGUCAGGGGGCUGGAGGACUUGGAGCAGGCCAAGGUCUUGGAGCCGGCCAAGGAGAUGGAUACAGACCUGGAGGAGGCUACGGUGGUGCUGCUGGUGGUCUGUACCCUGGAGCUGGAGGGGCGGGGGCAGGCCAGAAACCUCCCAAAACAGGAGCAGGAAGCACACUAGGAGGAGAUGGAUAUGGACCUGGUGGUGCUGGUGGAUAUUGGCCUGGUGGCGCAGGUGGACAUGGGCCUGGUGGCGCAGGUGGACAUGGGCCUGGUGGCGUAGGUGGACAUGGGCCUGGUGGCGCAGGAACUGGGCCUGGUGGCGCAGGAACUGGGCCUGGUGGCGCAGGAACUGGGCCUGGUGGCGCAGGAACGGGACCUGGUGGCACAGGUGGAUAUGGUCCUGGUGGCGCAGGAACUGGGCCUAGUGGCACAGGUGGAGUUGGCCUUGGUGGUUUUGGGCCUGGUGGCGCAGCAGUACCAGCUGGAGCACCAGUACUUCCACAGACUGGAGUCCCUGGGGGUGGAGCUAGAGAGAAGAGCGGUUGGAAGGCCAACAAACAAGUGCCAGGUGUUGGAGUACCUGGACUUUAUCAAGGUGGAAUAGUGCCUAGUCAAGGUUUCGGAGGGCGUGGGGUUCUACCAGGUGUUGCCACUGGAUCCGGACUUGCUCCCCAGACAGGGGCAGGUGUGCUGGGCCAGGGUGGAGUUGGAGCUGGCACUGGAGCUGGAGGUGGCCGAGGCAGUUUAAAUGGAGUGUUCCGUGGAUAUCCCCUCAUAUCACCUAAAUCUGGAGGGGCUGGAGGCAAAUCAGCUAAUUCCCAGGCCAAGCUUGCUGCUAAAUAUGCUGGAGCUGGAGGUGUACUUCGUCAAGGGGGCAUGUCGGGAGCAGGAGGAGUACCUAGCGGUGUACCUGGAGCAGGUGGGGUCCCUGGUUAUGGAGUUGGAGCUGGAGGUGUACUUCGUCAAGGGGGCAUGGCCGGAGCAGGAGGUGUACCUAGCGGCGUACCUGGAGCAGAUGGGGUCCCUGGUUAUGGAGUUGGAGCUGGUGGUGUACCUGGUUACGGAGGUGGAGCAGGAGGCAUACCUGGAUUCGGAGGCGUAGCCAGAGCAGGAGGCGUACCUGGUUACGGGGGCGGAGCCGGACCAGGAGGCGUACCUGGGGCAGGGGGCGUCCCUGGCUCAGGUGGGUAUGGAUACCCAGGGGGUUACCCAGGUGGAGGGCGGUACCCAGGGGCUGGCCUAGGUGUAGGAGGUGCCUACCCCGGAGGAGCUGGAUCUAAGGCAGCCAAAUAUGGUCAGGGUGGAGCAGGCACUGGAGCUGGUGGUGGGCUCAGCCAGGGAGUGCCUGCAUCUGGGAUUGGAACCGGAAGACUGCCUGGUGGGGCUGGAGGGGAACCAGGAGGCGGUUACAGGCCUGGCGGUAGCUUCGGUCCUGGAGGUGGAGUUGGACCAGGUGGGGCCAGUUAUGGACCAGGUGGGGCCGGCUAUGGACCAGGUGGAGCUGGACCUGGUGGCUAUGGACCAGGUAGUGCUGGAAGUUAUGGAACAGGUGGAGGGGUUGGACCAGGUGGUGCCGGGGAAGGACAUGGUGGAGCUGGCUAUGGACCAGGUGGAGGAGUUGGUGGAGUGCCUGGUGGUGGACACAGACCCGGAGGUGGUUUACCUGGUAGUGGUGCUGGUUACGGACCUGGUGCUGGUGUUGGAGGAUAUGAUGCAAAUGCUAAAGCUCGUAAAUAUGGUAUGCUAAGUGGUGUCCUUGGGACCCCAGGAGGAGGACAGGCAGCCAGCCUGGGAGGAGUACCAGGAGGGGGAGCAGGGACUGGAGUAGGCCAGGGUGGAGUGCCUGGAUCUGGGCUUGGUGGUGGUGGAGGUGUCCCUGGUGGUUAUGGUCCUGGAGCUGGAUUUGGACCUGGCCGUGGAACCGGUGGUGGUUAUGGACCAGGAGUGGGUGCUGGGACUGGACUUGGCCAGGGAGCAGGGCCUGGAGCUGGGCUUGGUGCUGGUGGAGUGCCUGGUGGUGGAUACAGACCCGGAGGUGGUUUACCUGGUAGUGGUGCUGGUUACGGACCUGGUGCUGGUGUUGGAGGAUAUCCUGCUGGGGCUAAGUCUCUGAAAUACGGUCCAGGAGGAGGUGGAGGAGCUCCGGGUGGAGGCCUUGGUGGGCGAUUCGGUGCCCCGGGAGGAGGUCUGCCAGGAGGAGGCUACGGACCAGGGGCAGGAGGCGCCUUAGGAGCAGGAGAAGCAGGAGCAGGAGGAAGAGUGCCUGGGGGUGGAUACGGGACCGGAGCUGGGCCUGGUGCAGGGUAUGGAGCAGGAACAGGGCCUGGAGCUGGGUACGGUCAGGGAGCAGGAGGAGUCCCUGGAGGAGGCUAUGAAGCUAGGGCAAGAGCAGGAGGACUACCUGGGGCCGGAUAUGGACCUGGAAGAGGAUAUGGAGCCGGAUCAAAACCUGCUAAAUAUGGACAAGUUGCUGGUGGGGCCGGUGGGGCCCUUGGAGGAGGAGCUGGACAAGGAUUCGGAGGGGUACCAGGUGGCUAUGGACCAGGUGGCUUCGGAGCUGGACCAGGUGGCUUCGGAGCCGGACCAGGUGGCUAUGGAGCCGGACCAGGUGGCUUUGGAGCCGGACCAGGUGGCGUUGGAGCCGGGGGCGGAGCAGGAUUAGGAGGGGUGCCAGGUGGGCUUCCAGGAGGGUACAGCGGUUCUCCCUGGGGGAAAAGGGGCUAUGGUACUGGAUCUGGAUUUAAGGCAGACAAAUAUGGACCAGGUGGGGCAGGAGGGGCCCUUGGUGCUGGGGCAGCUGGAGGUGCAGGGGCUGGGACAGGGACUGGGACCGGGACCAGAGCUGGGACAGGUGCUGGAGGAGGUGCAGGACCUACACCUGGCCCUGGCACAAGAGCAGGAGGAGAUGGCACUGGGACAGGAGCAGGAGGAGACAGGAUAGGCGCAGGAGGAGCAGGCACAGGAGGUGAGCCUGGUGGUGCCGGUGGGGUUCUAGAAGGAUCUGGAAGUUCUGCUGGCCCAGGAGAUGGCACCGGCGUCACAGCUGGUGCUGUUGGAGGAGGGGUGGGAGACACAGGAAUCCCUAGCAUUGGAGGAAAACCAGAUCAAUCGGGGCUCGGGGGGACAGCAAUCCCAGGUGGAAUUGCAGUGCCAGAAACUGGGGCUGGAGUUGUUCAACCCAGUGCUGGGGCUGGAGUUGAUGGGGUAGGAGUUCCCUCUGGAGGUGCUGCUAACGGUGAUAUCACUGGAGGGGGGACUCUACCUGGAGCUAAACCUCUGAAGGCUCCAAGAGGAGAUACACCUGGUGAAGGAGAGGGAGAUGCAGGAGGAGGAGCAAGAGGUGUUGGUGGAGGUCCUGAUGGUGCAGGAGGAGCAGGCAGUGGAUCUGGCGGAGUAGGAAGAGAUGGUGAUGGUAGAGGAGGAGGACCAGGAGGAGCAGACAGUGGAUCUGGCGGUGUAGGAAGAGAUGGUGAUGGUAAAGGAGGAGGAGGACCGGGAGGAGCAGGGGGGAAAGACGGUGGUGCAGUUAGAGUGGGAGGAAGUCCUAACGGUACAGGGGGAGCUGGAGGUUCAGGAGUUGGAGGAGCAGGAGUAGAACCUGGAGGAGGUGCAGGACCAGGCAGUAGUGACAAACCACCCAAAGGUUAUGGAGCAGGUGGGGCUGGCAGUCUGGGUGCAGGAGGUGCUGGAGGAGCAGCUCUGGUCCCUGGGACUGGUGGUGCCGGUGAUAUAGGAGCUGGAACCCCCAAACCAGGAAAAAGCUACGGAGUUGGUGGAGUCCUGCCAGGUGGAGGUCUACGUUACCCAACUGGGGCUAGAGAAGGACUGGGCUCAGGGAAGCCGGGCAAAGGAUAUGGUGCUGGCCAAUUUGGAGCAGGAGGACGACGUCCUGGAGGAUAUGGUGCCGGACCAGGCGGAUACGGAGCCAGUCCUGGAGGAUAUGGCACUGGACCCGGUGGUUAUGGGGCCAGACCCGGUGGUUAUGGUGCUGGUCCAGGUGGUUAUGGGGCUGGAGCUGGUCCUGGUGGCUAUGGUGCUGGGCCAGGUGGAUAUGGUGCUGGACAAGGUGGCUAUGGUGCUGGGCCAAGUGGCUACGGGACAGGGGCUGGGCCUGGAGGAUAUGGAUCCAAGCCAUACAAGACUGGAGGUGCUGGAGCCGGUGGUGUUGGUGGAGGUCUGGGUGGAGCUGGCAGCCUGGGUGCCAUAGGAGCCGGACCAGGAGGAGUGGGUGGAGGUCAAGGAGGCGGUCUAGGUGGAGGUCAAGGUGGAGCUGGACCAGGUGGAUAUAUACCAGGUGGAGUUGGUAGCAGAUACCCCACAGGUGCUGGAACUGGUACAGGAACUGGCACUGGAAAACCACCUAAUAGCUAUGGGAGAGCUGUUGGAGCUGGAGAUGGGCUUGGUGGUUAUGGUGGCGGAACAGUUGGUUAUGGACCAGGAGGAACUGGGGUCGGACUAGGUGGGGCUGGGGCCGGGCAAGGUGGAUAUGGUGCCGGACAUAAAGGUUAUGGACCAGGUGGAGCAGGGCCGGGAGGAGCUGGGGUCAGACCAGGUGGAGCAGAGGCCGGACCUGGUGGCUAUGGCGCAGGGCCUGGAGGUUAUGGGCCUGGGGCUGGUCUUGGUCCUGGAGGUUAUGGGGCUGAACCUGGUGGCUAUGGACCAGGUAGAGCAGGGCCGGGAGGAGCUGGGGUCAGACCAGGUGGAGCCAGACCAGGUGGAGCAGAGGCAGGACCUGGUGGCUAUGGUGCUGGGCCUGGAGGUUAUGGGCCUGGGGCUGGUCUUGGUCCUGGCGGAGCUGGUCCUGGAGGUUAUGGGGCUGGACCUGGUGGCUAUGGACCUGGUGGCUAUGGACCAGGUGGCGCUGGAUCUCAUAAAUAUGGUAUGCUAAGUGGUUCCCUUGGAGGGGGACAAGCAGCUGGCCAGGGAAGAGUGCCAGGAGGGGGAGCAAGGACUGGGCUAGGUCAGGGAGGAGUGCCUGGAGGAGGAGCAGGUACUGGGCUAGGCCAUGGAGGAGUGCCUGGAUCUGGGCUUGGUGGCGGUAGUGGUCCGGGUGCUGGGUAUGGACCUGCCAUUGGAACCCAUGGAGGUUAUGGACCAGGAGGUGGUGCUGGGACCGGACUUGGUCAGGGAAGAGCCGGGGUCGGACCAGGUGGCUAUGGACCACUUGGAGCUGGGGCUGGACAGGGAACUGGAGCUGGAGGAUAUGACGCAAAUGCUAAAGCUCGUAAAUAUGGUAUGCUAAGUGGUACCAUUGGAGGAGGACAAGCAGCUGGCCAGGGAAGUGUGCCAGGAGGGGGAGCAGGGACUGGAGUAGGCCAGGGUGGAGUGCCUGGAUCUGGGCUUGGUGGUGGUGGAGGUGUCCCCGGUGGUUAUGGUCCUGGAGCAGGAUUUGGACCUGGUGGUGGAACUGUUGGUGGUUAUGGACCAGGAGGGGGUGCUGGGACCGGACUUGGCCAGGGAGGAGUUGGGGCCAUACCAGAUGGCUAUGGGACUGGGCCUGGUGGUUAUGGACCAGGUGGAGCCGGACAGGGUGCAGUGAAGCCAAACAAAUCAGGUUAUGGCUCCUCCUCCUCGGGUGGAGCUCUCUUUGGACCAGGUGGUGGAGCAGGUGGGGUACCUGGUGCUGGAGCUACCGGGCGAAGAGGAGGAGUACCAGGAGGCUACGGAGUAGGAGAAGCGGGACAGUCAGGGCAGAAAUCAAAGGCACAGAAGGCAGCCAAAUACACAGCCAUGCAAGGCUUCCUGGGAGCACGCAGCUACAGAGGGGUCGCCGACUGCCAGGGUAUAUACUGCGGACGGAGGAGGAAGUGAGAGAGCAGCAAAAAGAAGUGACCUCAUCAACAACAUUGUGGUGCUACUGCAUGAUUCAAUAAUGUACUGAUUUUCAACUACUAAUAUGUCCCUUUUUUCUUUUAAAGUGUGAAUCUCGGGCAAUGGCAAAACCAGAGCCUGUUUGAUCUUUUAUUCUGAAACUGUGAUCAUGUGUUUAUUGUUCCUCACCUGUACUUUAGCCCCUCCUGUGUGUACCCCAUUUACCCAUUUAGCUCCACCACGAAUCAUGUUUGUUUAAAACACUGAUACUAAGGCGUCCCACAACGGAGUGCCUCUAGACCUGUCUGUAUGCUGACUAAACUGUCUGUUUUCUGAUUAAUGUGACUAACAUCCCUCUAUAAAGCUAUGCUAUUGACACACAGGCCCAGACUUACUCAACAUUUGCACCUGCACUUUUCAAUAUACCUAGUUUUUGUUCAAGUUGUUUAGUUGCAAACUUUUACAAUAUCUGGCCCAAGGCGUCUUGAGAUAUAUACACACACUGCUGCCAUAAAUGAAAAUCAUAGGAGAUAUCUUUAGAGUGGUAAUCUUACAACCACCAUUUUUGAUUUAGAACUGUGUCCACUCUGAACCCUCAAAAGGCAGUGUGUGUCCACAGCAACACUCAUGUUCUAACUCUGAUUCUAGUUUCAGCAGUUCUCAAAAAAAAGGAGCUUAUUGCCCUUAGUAAAGGUUUUAAGAUCUUAUAUGCAGUCGUGUAUAAUGUCUUUACAGAAUAUAUAUAGUAAGGUUUAACUAAGCCACUUGCCUGAAAUAUUAUCAACAUCUUUCUGAAUGGCUGUAUAACACUGAAUUGCUGUGAGUGUUUUGAAUACUUAAUCACACCGAUAUGACUGUGUUAGUACAGCCAUAGUUGAGAUGACUGAAAAUGCAAACGUAUAUUUUCUUUGUUUAAAAUCCUCAUCUUGGCUUUACUGAGAGCAACAGUACCUACAUGACAUUUGCAGUUGAUUAAAACUAAUAUUAUAAUCAUGCAAUCCAGAGAUUGGCCUGUUUUCAGACCUAUCACCGUAAAACAUAAUUCUGUUAACUCAAAUUAUUUGAAAAACUGAUUGCCUUGACUCAUUAAAUUAAAGCAACACAUUUUUUUGUAAGUUACCAGUACUCAGUUCAUUUUGUUUUAGUGACUUAGAAGAUUAUGUUACACAGUGAACUGUAGAGAGCAUAUAACUGCAGACUGUUGACAAAAGCCCAACGUUUUUACGCGCGUUAAUUCACCCAGGAAAUAGAAUGCAUGGGAGAGAAUGAGAGACAACAGAUGGGCCUCAACGGUGUCAUUACACAUCAGUUUAGAAAGCAAGUCUAUUUCUCUCCACAUCUACAAGAAGCAAUGCUGGUAAAAUGAGCAAAUAAAUUGCCAGAAAAUAGACUGUUUGCAUCGUUAUGUCUGGAAAUGUGAAAUGUAUAGUUAAACUGAUCAACACUGAAUAGACACUUUUUAACUGCCAAUACAUAUAUGAAAACAAAUGCAUAGAAUUUCGAUCACAGGCAUAUAGCCUAGGCCAGGGGUCUCCAAAGUUUUUUCUAGCCUGAGUUACUUUAAGAAAAAUGUAACAUGUCGCUUCUCUUCUCCCAUUCAACUCUUCCUCAGGUCCUUAGUGUAUAAGAGAAAGUAGUGCACUGUUUUCUGUCAAUAUACCUGGUAAAAUAAGGAUUAAUAAACAACUCUAAGGGGAGACCUAUAAAGUCAGAUUUGUUUUCUCCAAAAUUAUGUUUUCAAUUUCCCAAAAUACGUUUUCUCUGUUUUAUAUUUUCUGGUUUAAGAUGUUGAUUUUACUCUUAAAAUUACAAUUGUUCAUAGAGAAGUUUGUUCUGAGGACAUGUCAAUGGUUAAAUCACAUCAGGAUACCCUUUUUUUUGGGGGGGACAAAUAGAUUUCCCCUUUAUUGUGCAUCUAGCGAGUAAGGAAUGUGCCGUCUAAUGUGCCAGUCUGGCGAUGGUUCUGUACUGCUGCUGCUGCUCAUUUAAUGGCAAAGUUAGUAAAUAACAAAUAGAUACAAAUGAUAUAUUUACUUAUAUCAUUUAUAUAUAAACUUCUGCCUGGUAAGCCUACUGCCACAAGACGGUUAUCGCAUCACCUGGCUACACACGGAGUGAUUGACAAACGCGCCACACCAUAUACAGUAGACAGACGCGCAAUACUACCGGAAAUGAAUUGGCAGAUAUUGUGAAGGUUUAAUUCUCUAUGCCAAUAGUGGCUAACAAGGGGUGGGAUAAUGUCAAUGUUGAGUUGUUUAGAUAGGUGGUAGCUUGCAGUGUCGGAUAAUUGGGAGAUUUGUUUAUGACAGUUUGCGAUGGAACAGAGGAAAAAUUGCAUAUGCUUUCAGAAUUGUUUGGUGAGCUACUCAUAGGUGAGCUGCGAGCUACUGGUAGCUCAUGAUCGACCUGCUGGAGACCCCAGGCCUUGGCAGACUACGGCUGGGAAACUCGAGGAACUACGAUUUCAAGAGAGAAUACUAUUAUGUAGGAAGAACGAACUAGCUAAAUUCCUUAUAGACUGCUCGGGUUUAUUAGCUACAACUCUCCUCAUGUUCAUGAAUAACAAUUUUUUAGCCUGUGCAGGCAGGUACGGUGGCUCCCAUAGGACAUCUAAGAUGAGUCAAAAGGAACACACAAAAAUAGUUCCCAGGUGCUAUAUAGCGAACAUAACAAUUACAACUGUUUAUUAUGGAUUAUCAUGACGAUUACGUUGGCAUACGCUACGCAGUAUAUGUGAAUUGACGCUGGCCUCUCGCAAGCAAAUUUCACACCGUUGACAGGCAUCUCCGGGUGUAAUUUCGGUUUAACACCGAUGCAGUUCAAGUCUUUUCACUCUGAACUUAAACUAUUUGUUUACUUUAGCUUUUUAAAUUAUGAAGGAAAAAAAUGCUAAAACAUUUUCAACAAUGUCUACUCUUCUGAUUUAAAAAAAAAUAAGUGCUUUAUUUUUUUACAUUGUCUUUGAAUGCUCUCUAAUGCUAGUGUUACCUGAGGUGUCAUGUUACAUGUUUAAUGAAACGUUGUAAUCUUGAGUUAUCUAUGGGCUAUAGUGUUUAUAUCAUUAAGCCCAGACAGACAAAGAACAUCUGUGUUUUACCUUAGAAGAGAAUGAUUCACUUUUUUUUACACAGUACACAGUUUUUAAAUAAAGAAAUUACCUGAAUGUUGUGUUGUGAGUCUAAUCUUUUCCAACAC